rnacentral:rRNA from 1 species
ACUCCUACGGGAGGCAGCAGUGGGGAAUUUUACGCAAUGGGGGAAACCCUGACGUAGCGACACCGCGUGAGCGAAGAAGCCCUUUGGGGUGUAAAGCUCUGUCAGCUGGAACGAAAACAAUGACGGUACCAGCAGAGGAAGCAUCGGCUAACUACGUGCCAGCAGCCGCGGUAAGACGUAGGAUGCGAGCGUUGUCCGGAUUUAUUGGGCGUAAAGAGCUCGUAGGUGGUUUGUUAAGUUUGGUGUUAAAGAUCGGGGCUCAACCCUGGGACUGCACUGAAUACUGGUAGACUCGAGUGUGGUAGAGGCUAGUGGAAUUCCCAGUGGAGCGGUGAAAUGCGUAGAUAUUGGGAAGAACACCGGUGGCGUAGGCGACUAGCUGGGCCAUAACUGACGCUGAGGAACGAAAGCCAGGGGAGCGAAUGGGAUUAGAAACCCCGGUAGUCC